GGAAAAUUCACCAUAGGUAAGGUAAAUUAUUUGCUAUGUAAUUGAAUUUAUUAUUCUUAUGAGUUCGAAUCUCAUAUUUUCCG
rnacentral:tRNA from 11 species